CCGGCCGAGAGCCGCUUCUCCGGCAUGUCCUCGGGGCACCCGCUGCCCGACCCCGCUGUCGGGGAGCGACCGGCGCCUCGCGCCGCGGCCUGGAGCUGCCCGCUGCCGCGCGUCCAGGGUUGCCAUGGAGCCGGACAAUGAGAGGCUGGGCUGGGGGUGGCGGCCGGGGAAUGGCCGUUACUGUGGAGACCGCUGCGCUCCCAGGAGGAAAGGCCGCCAGGGCGAAGGGGACUCACCCACGAGAAAGGACCUGAGAGCCAGGCCCCAGUUUUCUUGGUAGAGCCACACAGGUUGGUCAGACGCCUGUGGCAAAAGGCUUGACAGUGUGGUAAGCUCACUGCUUGAGCUUACCGGGCAAUGCUUCCAAGACCAACGCCGAAAAUGAACCGCUCCACCGCACCCUAUCACCCCACACCCCAUCCCCAAAGCGGAUCUCCGAGCUUCCAUCUUCUGGCCAGGGUUGUGGCAAAGACCCCCAAAGCCCUCACUAGGAAGGUGGAGGCAAAAUGAUCAGGAGUUUAAGGCCAGCCUGGGCUACAUGAGAACCUGUCUCAACUAAAACACAUCAGAUAAUACAUCUCUUAAGCCAGAAA